rnacentral:tRNA from 1 species
GCGGCCGUGGCGGAAUUGGUAGACGCACCAGGUUUAGGUCCUGGCGCUCUUUGAGCGUGAAGGUUCGAGUCCUUUCGGCCGCACCA